GGAUCAAUUGCUACAACGUAGUAAGCACUAUGGCUCCCUUUGGAGGGUACAAGAUGUCUGGUACUGGUCGAGAACUAGGCGAGUAUGGUCUGGAAGCCUACACGGAAGUCAAAACUGUGACUGUGAAGAUCCCGCAGAAGAACAGUUAAAAUGUUUGCGCUUGACAUGAAAUAAUUUCUUUGAAUUAUUGGUUAAUUGUUUCGAAGUACGUAACAUAACAUUUCCUAAUAAAUAUUAAUUGCCUGGAUAAGGACAUUGAUGUGGGUGAAUGUGUUUCGGAGUGGCCGUGAUUGAAUGGUGUAAUUGCAUAAUCUAUAACUGAAAUUCAUCAACUGAAAUUUGAAAAAAAAAUCAUAGGUAAUUAGAUGAAAGAUGCUAAUGCUCGGUGAUAAAAUCAUUUCUAAUUGGAUGGGAGAUGGAUGUAUACGCGAGGUCCAAAUAUAAGGAUGUGUAUAUCCGCGCGUGAGUAAGUGCAUGUAUUAUGGUGUGGGUGAGCGUGUGUUUGUUCGUGUGUGAGAGUGUGCUGGCUGUUUGAGCGUGUGAGGGAGAUGAGAGGAUAAAGGUAUAAAUAAGUUUGAUUAUAAUCAGCUGAGAAUAAACUGAAUUUCUUAAACUUAUAUUUUAUCGAGGCCAAAUCAUAUACUGAUGAAGUAUACGUGCGCGUGUCUCAGAUGACAAAAUUAUUAUAAAUCAUUGUUUGUUAAAAACAUAUAUUAGUGGUAAUUGUUGGUCCUUAUAUCGUGUGAUUUAUAUUCUUAUUUACUCAUUUAUUACAAGCAUUCUAUUUCCAUUUCCUUACCCGUGCAAUUCCCAGAAUAAUUCGGAAAAAGUCAACGUGAUGCGCCAUGUGAAACGCAUUUCAAAUAAAUUUUACAUAUUUUAUUCGUCCGUUAAAAUAAACAAAAUAUUUGUUGAUAAAAUGAUGUAAUAUCUCACGAAAUUGUAUAAAAUUAGAUUUAAAGGCAAGAUUACGAAUUGUAUUUGUUUAUCAUAAGUUUCAAAACAAUAAAACAUGAACAACAGCUUUAUUCAUACUCAUGAAUUGAAAUGAUGAAAAUGCUCUUGAUUUGGAUGUAGGAUAAAAAAAACUUAAUAACAUCCCACGUAACUGGAAUGUGUCUUUCUGAAAAUGGAAAGUUAGGCAUUGGCAACAUUUUAUUUGUUUUCCAUUCAUAUUUUGGAAAAGAAACUUUGUAGCCUCAUGAAAUAAUCGUUUUUCACUGUGUCAAUUGGUACUGCUGUACAGUAUGAUGUCCAGGGCUCCGUAACACAAAGAUUACUGAUAAAUCCUACACUUGAUUUUCCCGAUUGAUUGUACAUUGUACCCAAUGCAAUCAAUCGUAGAAAAUAUUCUAUGAUCAUUGCUAAGCUUUGUGUUACGGGCCCCAGAUUGGUUUUACAUCAUCAAGGUUCUUCCUUCUUAUGAUGCUGCGUUGGGUUGUGUAUUUAAUUGAAAAUAAACGUAAUAAUGAAACAGGAAUCUUUUGAACUUAUUUAAAAAUAUAAAGACUUUCCUCAUAACAAAUUUCUAUUACUUGCGUAAAAGAAAUACUGAGUCUUUAGAUACUUGGCACUAUUGAGAAAGCUAUUUUUAUAUUACUUAUUCAUCUCCGAAGGAAAUUGAUGUCUUGCAAACAAUAUUGUUUGACUUCCUUCAUUUUCACUUUAAGAGGACCUUGUACUUUACAAAAGCAUAGCCUUUUACGAUGAUUGUAUCUGUCUCAAUUGGUACUUAUUAUUAUGUACGAUUAGUUUAAUAUAUGGUUUAUAUCAUGAAAGACCCCAGGCUUGUAACGAUUAGUUUCAACUUUUCAUGAUUUGUGAUAUUUAUAAAAAAAUAAAUGCAUCAUCGAUCAUUACUGAAUUUAAUAUGAUUUAAGAUGUUUCUUCUAGCAAAAUAUUACUUGUACAAAGUAAAGAUCGAGUUUCUGUUUGUUACCUGAUAUUGAAUAUUCAACUUCCUGUCUCAACCGUUGCUCAAUUAAUAUGGAGAUGGCAAUAGAUUUGAAAUAUGACACUGUAUGAAAUAAUUGCUCAAUAGCAUGUAUGGUACUCACGUAUGUGAUAUGUUUUUUAUAUAUAAUUGUGGAUUAUUAAUAUCAAUUAUUCAAAUCUCUCA